rnacentral:rRNA from 1 species
AUGAUGCACGGCAAGUCGGACUCGGACAUCACGAGCCUGGCGGCGUCGUCGCCGCCGCGGUCGCCGAAGCGUGGCGCGGGGGCCGGCGGCGGCGCCUACUACGUGCAGAGCCCGUCGCGGGACUCGGCGCACGACGGCGGGGGCGCCGGCGGGUACAAGUCCUCGUCGAUGCAGGCGACGCCGGUCUACAACAGCCCCAACGAGUCCCCCUCGCACCCGUCCUACGGCCGCCACUCCCGGGCCUCCUCCGUCAGCCGCUUCUCCGGCAUCCUCCGCGGCGGCAGCGGGCGCAAGGGCGGCGGCGACCUCAAGGCGGUGAACGCCAAGGGGUGGCCCGAGUGCAGCGUCAUCGAGGAGGAGGGCUCCUACGAGGGCCUCUCCGGCGGCGACAGCGGCCUCUCCGGCCGCUGCAAGCUCGCGCUCGCCUUCGUCAGCUUCCUCCUGCUCUUCACCGUCGUCUGCCUCAUCGUCUGGGGCGCCGCCCGCCCCUACGAGCCCGACGUCGUCGUCAAGAGCAUAGCCAUGGACAACUUCUAUGCCGGAGAGGGCACAGACCACAGUGGGGUUCCAACCAAGAUGGUCACGCUCAACUGCUCCCUGAACAUGGUGGUGUACAACCCUGCUUCAAUGUUCGGAAUUCAUGUCUCCUCGGGCCCUGUUCGCCUGCUCUAUUCGGAGAUCGCCAUCGGGGUUGGACAGGUUCACAAGUACUACCAACCGAGCAAGAGCCACCGGCUGGUGUCGGCGGUGAUCCACGGCGAGAAGGUGCCUCUCUACGGCGCGGGGGGCGGGCUCUCGCUGUCGGGCAACGACGUGACGGUGCCGCUGACGGUGGACUUCGAGCUCGUCUCCCGGGGCUACGUCAUCGGCAAGCUGGUGCGGGUGACGCACAAGGUGCACGUGACGUGCCGCAUCGCCGUCGACGCCAAGAGGGCGAGGACCAGGAUCCCCAAGAAGGCCUGCGCCGUGUACAAGGCCUGA